CUCUUGAUGUAAUUUCAAGUAACCUCUGCCCUAUGAAUAGUUUAAAUGGCCGCAGUACUUUGACUGUGCAAAGGUAGCAUAAUCACUUGUCUCUUAAUUGGAGGCUGGAAUGAAAGAGGCGACGAAACUCAAACUAUUAAGUUCAAAUGUGAAAUUAACAUAAAGGUCAAAAGGCCUUCAUAUAUCAAAGGGACGAUAAGACCCUAUAAAACUUUACUAUAAAACUAAAUCUUCUUAGGCAGGAUUGAGAUCUAUAGUUUAACUGGGGCGGUUUAUAUAUAAACAAUUGAAAUAGAAAAUAUUACUAUAGAUUUAGAGAGCUCUAAAAGGAAAUGAAUAAGUUACUUUAGGGAUAACAGCAUAAUUCCCCCAGAGAGUCCUAAUUGGCGGGGGGGCUUAUGACCUCGAUGUUGAAUUGGGGUGUCUAGUAUAAGUAGAA
rnacentral:rRNA from 1 species